UCCCGAUUAGCUCAAUUGGCAGAGCGUGAGACUUUUAAUCUCAAGGCUCGGGGUUCGACCCCCCGAUCGGGAG
rnacentral:tRNA from 1 species